CUAACGGCUGAACCACCAACUUGGAGGAAUGUAUAGCUACGGCUAAUUGUGUAUAACUACACGAUAUCGACUCUGUCGAAUAAAAUUCUGGGUAAAUUAUGAUGAUGACAUUUUUUACCUAUGUGUCUUGACCAAAUUGUGUGCCAGCAGUCGCGGUAAUACAUAGAAGACUAGUGUUAUUCAUCUUUAAUAGGUUUAAAGGGUACCUAGACGGUAGAUCAAGCCCUAGACGGGACUAAUCUGCUAGAGUUACUUAUGAGGGGGCUUUAAAGUACUAAUGGUGUAGAGAUAAAAUUUUGUAAUACCAUUUUUCGUAAAGAAAAAUUAUGGCACUGGUAAAGGCGAAAGCAUCCCCCUAUGUGA
rnacentral:rRNA from 1 species